AGCAUUUCCUUUAAAAAAAAAUUUAAUGCGACCAUAUCCUGGAUUGCAUCUGCCACCCGAUCGUGAAAAUUUUAAUAAGCGCCUUUCAAGAGCUCGGCGUGUUAUUGAAAACGCCUUCGGAAUUAUGACAGCACGAUGGAGGAUUUUGCUAUCCCCAUUGCAAAUGCAACCAUCAAGCGCGGAGAGCAUCGUGAAAGCAACAGCGCUGCUACAUCAUUUUUUAAAGCUAAACGAUGGCAGUUAUUGCCCACCUGAAUAUGUUCAUCGAUAUGAAGGAGACAAUGUAUUAAAUGCAUUAUGGCGCCAAGAAAUCUCAACACCCCUACGAGGAACUGGUCGAUCAAUGUCAAACAACGCUACAAGAAGUGCUUUCAUGUUGAGAGAUCAAUUGAAAGAUUAUGUAGCCACGCAUCCUAUUAAUUAAAUACACACCUAUUCAAUGAAGUCACUCACAUAACAUGUAGUUGCAUACAAUAGAAGUAUUAGUCAUUGCGAAUAUCAUGAGCUUCCUGGACAAUCAAAAUAUGCUAUCCUUAGAAACUGCGGAUAGGUUGGCGCGUAUGUCACAUGAAACUGGCGAUGGCAAGGCAUUGGUGCAUCAACUUCAAGUUAAUUAAAUUCACCAGAUCAUACAGGCACGCUUAGUCGAAAACAUUGUUUACAAAUACAAGUGAGAUAUCUUAGCAAUAGACGUCACCCUGGGCCACAGCUGCGAUCAUCUGUUUUUUAGAGUUGCUUAUUUUGGUCUAAACUGCGCUUUUUUGACCUGAGUUGCAUUAAAUAGUCUCUUAAAACUUGGUAGUAUUUGUUGUUCAAAUGGUAACAUAUAUGUCCAAAACUCAUGGUGAAAUGAACUGAAGGUGGCACAUUCCCGAAACCGCUACUUUGGUUUUGCCGACUUUGACA